CUGCUAUCUGCACAGCGUAUACGAGGUCAAGGUAUCGAUCUGCGUAAAGGCACGAGCGGUCGUAGUCAGAUGGAAUCCGGCCUACCUGAACUGCAUUGAACUGCAGCUGAGUCUCUAGAGGGGUAGAAUCAGUGUAGCGUGAAUGCGUAGAGAUCUGAGAUACCGUGGCGAAGGCGGCCCCCUGACGAAGACUGACGUCAAGUGCGAAGCGUGGGGAGCAAACAGGAUAGAUACCCUGGUAGUUCACGCCGUAAACGAUGUCGACUUGAAGGUUGUGCCCUUGAGGCGUGGCUUCCGGAAGCUAACGCGUUAAGUCGACCGCCUGGGGAGUACGGCCGCAAGGUUAAAACUCAAAUGAAUUGACGGGGGCCCGCACAAGCGGUGGAGCAUGUGGUUUAAUUCGAUGCAACGCGAAGAACCUUACCUGGCCUUGACAUCCAGAGAACUUAGCAGAGAUGCUUUGGUGCCUUCGGGAACUCUGAGACAGGUGCUGCAUGGCUGUCGUCAGCUCGUGUUGUGAAAUGUUGGGUUAAGUCCCGCAACGAGCGCAACCCUUAUCCUUUGUUGCCAGCGACUCGGUCGGGAACUCAAAGGAGACUGCCGGUGAUAAACCGGAGGAAGGUGGGGAUGACGUCAAGUCAUCAUGGCCCUUACGGCCAGGGCUACACACGUGCUACAAUGGCGCAUACAAAGAGAAGCGACCUCGCGAGAGCAAGCGGACCUCAUAAAGUGCGUCGUAGUCCGGAUUGGAGUCUGCAACUCGACUCCAUGAAGUCGGAAUCGCUAGUAAUCGUAGAUCAGAAUGCUACGGUGAAUACGUUCCCGGGCCUUGUACACACCGCCCGUCACACCAUGGGAGUGGGUUGCAAAAGAAGUAGGUAGCUUAACCUCGGAGGGCGCUU
rnacentral:rRNA from 1 species